rnacentral:tRNA from 1 species
GCCCUCAUGGCGGAAUUGGUAGACGCGCUAGCUUCAGGAGCUAGUGGCCUUACGGCCAUAGAGGUUCAAGUCCUCUUGAGGGCA